UGUUGUGUAUAAUUUUGGGUUGAGUCCUGUUAAUUUUGAAGCUUAGUGUAAAAUUUGUCAAUGGAAAGGUUUCAGGCUGUUUUUUAUCCCAUCUAAAGCAAUUUCUCUACAUUCUAGUAACAUUAGUUAAUUGGAAGUUAUCCCGAUGCGUGUUGUAGGCUCUGUCCAUCGGUGCCCGUAUUAAGAGAUGCACAAUCAUUAUUUCCUCAUACUAAUGCAUUACAUAUGCAGAGAAAAUUAACCCUACCAGAAAAUAGCGUCACUACUACUUCGAAUAAACAAUAACCUCUGACAUAAUGCAGAACGGAGUGUAUCCAGACUUUGCCAAACUUACAACCCUUUCAGAAUCAACUAAUUUUACAGGAGCUUCCAAAUUCCAAGCACCGGAAAUGAGAUUACCCGAAGGUAUUACCGAAUUAGAAGCGAGAAAUGAAAAACUUGGGCAAAAUUUGGUGCAAACUAACACAAUGGCCAAGGGGUUCUAUAACGCUCGUAACGAUAAUUUGAGCCUGGAUAUUGAUGGCGCAGAGAUUUGUACACCACAUUCGAAUACAAGAAAGGGAUUUGAUAAUAAAAUCGCCUUUGCACGAACAAAUUGCGAAAACCCUUCUGAUGGCGCUAUAUCUAUAGACCGAUAUGGAAAGCGAAAUGUACGUCGAAAUAAUCGAAAUAUAGAAGGAGCUCAAAAGGUGCACUGGUCACGAAACAAUAUUAGUGCUACUAUGGAACGUUUUGAGCCUACGCAUAAUAGUCAACCAUCUUCAUCUGCAUCAUCGUUAGAUUACGGAUUCGUUGCCAGCGUGGUAACCUCAAUAACAGAUACACCACAUUUACCGCAGAGAAAGAUCGUGCCUAGUGCAGCAUCAUAUGAAAUUAAGAGCCUUAGAGAAGCUGGACCAAUGAAUCAUGUAUAUUCAUACGCUUACUAUGAGCCAGGGGCUGUGAAGUGUCAUACGAAUAUUCCGCAGAAUAAUGUGCAGACCAUAAAUUCUGACUCAAUGAGCUCCAAUGCUAUAGAAACUUCCAGAAGUGGACCCCUUGACGUCACCCCUACAUUACUGUCCAAAGGUAACCGUUGCAAGUCAAGAAGCGGACAACCUACACUUUCGCCCCCGCGAGUGGGAGAUCGUCACACUUAUACAACUCGAUAUGGAACAACGGAAAAUUUGUACGAAGAAGUAAACGAGCAAAAGAUAAGAAAAGUUUUAUCCGAUAAUCGUAUAUCUGUAUCUCCUACAACUUAUGUUAAAGAAGAGCUUCGCCGAGUUCAACACGAUCAUUUCCGUGUACUGGAAGAGCUAAAUUUGUCUCUGGAAGCUUUAAUUAUGCCUUCUAGCCCACACCAUUUGAGCCCUAAUGCUAGAAUGAAGGAUACCGUAGUAAAUGUUGCGUCUUCUGAAGCUACUGGAAUUCUCUCAACGUCAUCGGAGGUUAUUUCUUCAUCAGUAACUUUACCGAAAAAAACACGGUGGUUUGGUUUGCUUGGUGGCAACUCAUCUUACUUAUUUCCAUCCAGUCAACCUAAUGGGUUUAUAAAUACCAGCCUGGAAAACUUAUCAGCUACAUUUCAUUCAAUGGAACUUAAAGACCAAUCUAAUAAUUCAGCCAACCACCCAGAGUUCGAUGACGGUGAUUUCGAUAGUGGAUUCAGUGGUAGCGGCAGUAGUAGUGGUGCAAGUUACAAUGAUAGUGUACGAGAUUAUAAACCUACUACCGCAUCUCUUGAAAAUUUUAACAUAAACAAAAAAAUGUAUCCAGGCAGUAGCGACAAUAGGGUUACAUCGUUUGAGUCUGUUGAAGUUUGCUCAAACAAACAGCCCACCGCUAUGCCUUCACUACCAACAGAGCCCUUAACGGAAAGUACUCGUAUAUUUAAAAAAAGCUUUUGGGCUAUGAAACCGUGAUGUGAUGGGCACCGCUUUGAGGACUUUUCAUUUAUAGGCCCAAUAAACACAAAGGUUUUUAAAUGCAUCACAUUAAAUAGUGUCUGAUUAAACACAAACUAAGAAUAAACAAGUGGUCGCCUUUCGCACUCACCUUGCACACACA
rnacentral:misc_RNA from 1 species